AGAAGUCGAACAGGUUCCGUAGUGACCUGCGGAGGAUCAUUAUUGAACUUUGAACCUUGUGGCUUCAAGUGGGAUUGUAGCUGGCCUUCACUGGCAUGUGCUCGCCCGCUCGUCGCUGCAACUUUCUUCGUCCACCUGUGCACCCACUGUAGGCUAGGAAUUACUUGUCGGGGCUUGGCUUCACGGCUGAGCUCUGGUUUGGGAGGUGUGCGCUUGCGCUCCCUCUGCCCUUUCCUAGCUUAUGUUUACACAAACUCAAAUUGUAUGUAUUGAAUGUCGUUUGUUUUACUGGACGCGAGUCCUAUAGAACUUUAUACAACUUUCAGCAACGGAUCUCUUGGCUCUCGCAUCGAUGAAGAACGCAGCGAAAUGCGAUAACUAAUGUGAAUUGCAGAAUUCAGUGAAUCAUCGAGUCUUUGAACGCACCUUGCACCCUUCGGCAUUCCGAAGGGUAUGCCUGUUUGAGUGUCAUUAAAUUCUCAACCUCCCUCACUUUGUUGUGAGCUGGCGGAUUGGAACGUGGGGGCUUGCUGGAGCACUAGCUUCAGCUCCUCUGAAAUGCAUUAGCAGAAUCUAUGCUCUCUUGUUUGAGGGGCUUGCUGCGGCUGUGAUAAUAUCUACAGUCGCUGGCUUGCUUUGACGCUUGGGUUUUUGAAGGGAUGCCUCUGGCGCCCUUUGCUUUCUCCUAAUACGAGAUACCUGUCCCUAGUGUUGUUCCUUGUUGCAGAUCUGGCGUAGUCGUUCGGCUUCUAACCGUCUCUGAACGGAGACAGCUUUAUGGACAUUGACUCAAAUCAGGUAGGAUACCGCUGACUA
rnacentral:rRNA from 1 species